UGAAAAGAUACUUUCUUGGAAAAAAAUGAGAAUCUGAAUGUUCUUGAAUAUUGGAAAGUAGAAUCUGAGAAGCGUCCUCAAUUAUCCAUGAUGGCUCGUGAUAUACUCAGUAUCCCUAUUACUUCAGUGGCCUCUGAAUCUGCUUUCAGCAUAGCUGGUCGUGUGCUUGAUAAGUACCGCAAUCGUCUUCUUCCGGAAAAUGCCGAAGCUCAAAUAUGCCUUGGUUCUUGGUUAGAUGGGGUUCCUUCUUUGGAAGAUAUUGAAGAAGGACAUCUGUUGGUGCAUGAUUUUAGUGAUAUUCAAAAUUUUGAAUCUGAAGGAGGGUGGUGAAGUGCUUGUUAGAAGAUUUGUCAUCUAUUAAGCUUGAGGCCAUGGGAUUUGCUCGAGCUCUUAUACUGCAAGUGUUCUUUGCCUGCAACAAGAGCGAAGAGAUGACAGCAAACUACCUUUUGGAUCAUAUACAUGAGUUUGAGAACGAUCAAUAGUUUAAGAAAAGUCUAAGAUCAACCGCCCCUUUCACUCUCAUCCAGUUUUAACUUAUCUUGUAGUGGUUAUUGUUCGAUAGACAAUGGACUAAAAAGACCAAUCUCUUGCAGCAUAUGUUGAUCUAUAUAAUGUUUACUAGUCGUAAUGUUGUGUAUAAUACUUGGGAUCUUAGCGCUUCACAUUUUGAUUUUCGUUAUAUGCAGAACGUCUUUUUUUAAGCUGAGGAAGCUUUUGAGGUUGAUGUUUUUCUGUCGAUAAUUUGUCUGCCUGUGCUUGCGCCUGUGAAAUUGGGUUUCAGGCUGGAAAAGUAUUAUCUACC